GCGGAGAUAGUCAAAGGUUGGGGCACGUAAUGUGGCCCUUCCGGCAACGCCCGGUCAACGACGUGAGGUUCAGGUCCUCAUGACUUAGGUCUUCAGGGGUUCAAAUCCCUUUCUCCGCA
rnacentral:tRNA from 1 species